AUGCAGGAGAAUGAAGAACCUAAGAGCGCUGGCCUCGCUGAGACACAUGCUGUGUGCAGGGAAGCAGCCUGCCUCGGGGCAGAAGAAUGGCAAGAAUGCACUGGAGUCGGUGUUGCUGUGGUGUUUGACGAAGAGGCCCCGGGCUUGGCUGUAGCAUCAGAUCACGGAGGCAGAUCCGGAUUUUUAAAGACCCAAGACAGCAAUGCCAUGUCACCAUCUCUGCUUCUCCCCGUCACAGCAGGAUCAGAAUCACAGUGUGAGAGAAGCAACCUCACAGGUUUCCACGUUCCUGAGUCACUCCGGCUGCUGUCCGAAACGGCUGCCUGGUCUAGAAUUUCCAGAUUAUUACCGGUCCCUUCCUCUUUCUUUCUUUCUUUCUUUCUUUCUUUCUUUCUUUCUUUCUUUCUUUCUUUCUUUCUUUCUUUCUUUCUUUCUUCCUUCCUUCCUUCCUUCCUUCCUUCCUUCCUUCCUUCCUUCCUUCCUUCCUUCCUUUUUCUUUCCUUUUUUUAAUUCCCUUCCUUUUUCUGUAUUAAAAUUCAAACGUUGCUUUUCUUCCUUCAUCUCGUGCAUUCAGGUCAAAGCCUCUGGCUCUUCUCUCUGGUAGAAUGAAAUAUUCCAGCCUGGCUGAACUCAGGGUGGAAAUGUUUGUGGAACUUCGGGUUGGAUGCUGGUGAAAGGAGCGUGUGGCCAGAGAGGCUCUGAAAACCCGGAGGAUCUGGACACUGACCACCUGCAGGCGUGGUCAUGGGUACAUUUGUCCAGACUGCAAGCUUUCCUUCCCUGGCCUCGGUUUCUGCUCCCUGGAUUCACAUUCCGUUCCUGUCCCUCCAGCCCGGCCCAGCCUUUUCCACGCAGCCUUCCACCAGCUUGGCCAGGCCACCGGGACUUGUCGCUCCUCACUCCGCAGUCAGAUUGGCUACACCAUGACCCAGAAUUCUGCUGCUGCAGGGUCUCAGUACGCAGCCGUGAGCCUUCUCUCCUUAAGAGGAUGGAAAACCUACUGAAGGCAGAGACCGUGUUUUCUCAGCACUGCAUUGAGUAUAAAGUACAGGUGGAAUGAAAUUUAGUUGCACCGAUUACAAGAUGGAUGGGCUAGGACCUUUCCCAAGGAUGCCUACUUAUUACAGAUAACAAGGCGGGAAACUUAUACUAACUGGAUCCUUCUCAGAGAGAGAGAGUGAAGGGCAAGCUGCACAUACUUUGAUCUGCCUCGUGGGAAGAAGGAGAGUGGGCUGUGAGAAACACUCAGGGGCAGUCUAUAUAUAGUUGCGACUUUUUUUUCUAAGGGGUUUGCAGGUUUGAACAAGAGCUGAUCUCCUCAGGAGGACAGAGGUCGACUGGGCUGCUUCUCCCCCUUCACCAGGCAAAGCUGGCAUGACCUCUAAAUAUAUGUGCCCAAAAGUGUUUGAAGAGCACCAUAUAUUUGGUGCCCACCUGGCAUUGUAGGUAGCUCCAGCCUAGUAGCUAUACUACAAACACAAUAUAUUCUCAGUCCAUCUUUUUAAAAAAUAAAUGAAUACACGAAGAGACUUGCA
rnacentral:lncRNA from 12 species